UACGUAGGUGGCAAGCGUUGUCCGGAAUUAUUUGGGCGUAAAGCGCGCGCAGGCGGCCUCUUAAGUCUGAUGUUGAAAGCCCCCGGCUCAACCGGGGAGGGCCAUUGGAAACUGGGAGGCUUGAGUAUAGGAGAGAAGAGUGGAAUUCCACGUGUAGCGGUGAAAUGCGUAGAGGAUGAUGGAGGAACACCAGUGGCGAAGGCGACUCUUUGGCCUAUAACUGACGCUGAGGCGACGAAAGACGUGGGGGAGCAAACAGG
rnacentral:rRNA from 1 species